CGGAAAUCACGUGCUCUGUUUCCUCAUUUGAAAACAUGAGCCGGCAUUAUGGCGGGAAUGGACGCAGGUAAGUGGGGAGACGAAUGUCUUUGUGAAUGAAUGUUUAAGUUAACCGAUAGAGCUCCAAGUGUGUAACCUUGGUUACCCUAUCCAACAGAGAAGAGAGAAGGAAAAACAGCGCUCUUCAGUGGGUAAUUGGCGACACUGAAGGUGGAGGAAAUGUUUGGCGUGUAUGCAGGUGUGUAUGUAUGUGAGUGUGUGUGGCUCCAGCUGCCCCCAGUCAGUGAGGACGCCGCUCCUUCACACCCACUAAACGUUGAAAUCGUGGUAAUAUUUCUAAUGUUAAAAGAGUAGAAAUAUUUCCACAUUCAUUGACAAAAAUGGCUCAAGGGGUGUAAAGUUUGGAUGACCGUUUAAGAAGGGGGGAUGAUUUUGACCAUUUUCAUUUCAGGGGGAGUUCCUAAUCUUGGUUAAAUUCAACCCCACAGAGUCCAAACAUUUCUUUCUCUUUACAUAUGUAUGACUUUUCACAGUUACACUCAGAUUUAUAGAUAAAUGUCCACAUGUAGCUACUGCCUUAAUAGUAUCAUGUUGAUGAUUUUGUAAUUAUUGUCUCACUUCCCUCUUUUUUAAAGCCAUAACACAUAUAAUCUGAGUUAACUCAGUAUGCACAUGUGAGGGUUUUUAAAGUGACUACAAACAAUACAUUAUGCUUGUACCAUAGAUGGGGGGCCACUGAGGUUAGAUUUUUCAGACAACCAACCCUGCCCUUUAAGUGGAGAUUUUCUGAAACUUCUCUGAAAAACAUGUGAAUGGAAAGAUGAAUUUUGAAGUUUUUAAAUCAAAAUACUAUGGUCUACAAAUCUAGUAACACGCUUCAAGCCUUCCAGGUCUGAGUUUUGAACACAAUGCAAAGGUCAUAUAGCACUUCAGUUUGACGCCUGUGAAUGACAGCAGCUCUGAGGGCAGACACACAGAGCGCCACUAAAUGUUAAUAUUCCCACAUGGAUGACUCUCGGAUGCCCUCACACUCUGCUGACUUUACAUGUUGUUCCUAUAUAAAGUCUCUGUAGCUGGAUGGUUGGACUUUGUUGUUCAAACUCAGAAAAACCAAUAUGAUGAAGACCAUGGUGUGUGCGUUUCUUACGUGAGCCUCUUCAUUGCUUUAGCCUGCUUUUCACGGUCUUGUCUUUUUUCCUGUGUGCAGAGUAAGGCCACUAGGGGGAGCUACAAGACCCCCACACUUCACUCAGAACUCAGCCUAUGUGGGGAGCCUGAACAUGCAGCUGUGGAUGGAGUCACUUGAAAACCAGUUUCGUAUAUUCAUAAAGGUUUUAACGCCUCUGAGUAUCAAACACAGAGUAAAAAAAGGACAAUACGGAGGAAAACAUCCGUCUCUGCAUUACAAGACGUUUCCUGUGUUUGAGUUGGACUCUCACGUGCCUCCUAUGAGUUCCCUUCAAAAUAAAAGUCACGACUAAUUCAAUCCAGAGCUGAAAAAUGACGACGAAGCAGCAUGGACACACAAGUGAGCAAUUCGAGGCAGUAAAUCGACUUCAUUUCAAGAGAUUAAGAUUGUAUUUUUUUUAAACGAAACAUUGGUAUUUUGCACUUGAUGUGAGACAAAAAGGAUAAAUAUUUAAAUGUAUAAGAGCAGAUAAAUGGUCAAAACAGAC
rnacentral:lncRNA from 1 species